ACCGUGGGAUGUCUCCACAAUCACCUUUGAAGUUGCUUCUGAACCACAGGUGGGCAUAAAGACAGCUUGAUCUUCGAGGAUUACCAAUGUUUCUAAAGGAAAGCGACAGCUCCCGUGCAUCCAGUUAUGAUGUAAUGGUCAUUAUAUGUAACCGAG